rfam:Candidatus Falkowbacteria bacterium RIFOXYA2_FTLL_38_12 rifoxya2_full_scaffold_72, whole genome shotgun sequence.
CUUUAAAAGUGAAUAAAGCCAUAGACAGCAGGCGUUCCGUCCAGCGGAACUUAAUCAAAGAAAGCCCGCCGAGGUAAAUCGCCCCUUUUGGGGAUUAUGUCUGUGGUAAUGCCACAGUUUUUUAUUACAAAUU